UGGGAAAGAAGAGAAAUUCUGAAAAAUUAUUUAAGAGCGGUAAAAGUACCGGCGAAUGUGCCAGUAGAUGAAUGGCACGAAGUUGAAGUCAGACCAUCGGCCAGGUGGCAUGGGCCGAUGUUAACAAAAACUCAAAAGCGUUGGCAACAGAGGUUGCAAGCCGAGGCGAGACAAAAUUAUGAAAAGGCGAAAGGGCUGAGGUUCAAUGUAUGGAGACG
rnacentral:lncRNA from 1 species